rnacentral:rRNA from 1 species
UACGGAGGGGGCUAGCGUUGUUCGGAAUUACUGGGCGUAAAGCGCACGUAGGCGGCUUUGUAAGUUAGAGGUGAAAGCCCGGAGCUCAACUCCGAAAUUGCCUUUAAGACUGCAUCGCUCGAAUCAUGGAGAGGUGAGUGGAAUUCCGAGUGUAGAGGUGAAAUUCGUAGAUAUUCGGAAGAACACCAGUGGCGAAGGCGACUCACUGGACAUGUAUUGACGCUGAGGUGCGAAAGCGUGGGGAGCAAACAGG